CCCCAAUUGUCGUCUAAUUGUUAACACUAUUGGUGGCCUAUAUUUAGUUCUUAUGGUUCUCCAUACGCAUGUUCUAAUAUUUGCAUCCGGCUUUGUAUAUCGGAGAAUCAACAUUUUGUCUAUUACGUUUCUUGACUAGGAAAGAUGGGUGGAGGUGUCUUAGUUGGAAUCAGUAUUGUAGCAGGAGUUUUACUGUUGGUUGGAUUAGUCACACCAGGAUGGCUUGGACUUGACUUCAAGUCAGGCGAGAAUGAUGUUUCGAUCAACAUGAAUAUAUUUUACAGCAGAGUAUGUGUACAGGAAUCUGCUAUUGACGCUUGUAUGACUAUGUCAAAUGCUGCUGCUAUGGAGCGUGCGUCGAGCUCAGUUGACAGUUUCAGAUUUACAGAGUAUUUAGUUGAAGCUGUCGGAGCCUUAAUUGGCUGUGGUUGUGGAACUAUAUUAGCCAUAAUUUAUGGUUUAAGUGUUGUGAGAGAACAAGACAGCGUCAGACCUCGAUCUAGCAAUUUAGCCGUUACCGGACUAGUGCUCUCUAUAAUAGGAGGUAUUUGUGGCGGCAUUUUGGUUAUCGAAUUCAUCAUUGUACACACUAACUUGGAUAGUGUGACUGACACCUUCGGAGAACAACUAGAAUCUAGUAACGUUGGAUUUGAGAAGUCCUUCCCAUACUCACUGGUGAUAAUGUCCUUUGGUCUGUUCUUUGAGCUCAUUGCCGUCAUCGUUCACAUUGCUUGCAUGAGAACUCCGUACAGUGGAGCUCCAAAUGGUAUCAUCCUAACUCCUUCAGUAAACGGACCUACAGCUGUCGUUGUCCAGCACUCGACCGUCUCAUCAACUCCUUACGCUAGGUUCGCUUAGAAUGAACACUGUGAACUGCAUGUUGUUUGACAUUAACAAAAUUUGAUUGCUUACUUAUAAACUGUAUUAUACCAAUUUCAUUUGACACAAAAAAAAAUAUGAAUCAUGAAUAGUGAAGUUACAUUAUGUCUUUUAGUUCAAGUACAAGUUUGGUGUUUUGAUUUUUCCUCCUGAAACACGUCAAAUAUCAAAAGGACCGUUAGAAUUAUAUUGGUACACCUGAAAACAAUUUCAACUUAAUAAGUCAAUUCUAGUUAUGAGCCUUAUUUCCUGAGAGUCUAUAAAUCAUGAUCACAUGACGGUACCCUCACAAUGGCGGAUUUACCGAUGACGCACAGUGUGAAUGUUAUCAUAUUCACAUAUCUGAACUACUUAAAAUUUCCAUGGUGCCCCAAGUCGUACAGGUUCUGGAUCCGCCCCAUACCUAAUAACUCCCGGUGUAUAAUUUCGUAUAAAUUGACUUUCGAUGUUUAAUUCAAGUAGUAUGUACUAUUUGGAACUAUAAAUGAUGUUAUAUUUACAAAACAGUAGCGACAUGAAUGAAAUGAUUCCACUUGUAUUCUGGUGAAUGAAUAGCGGGUUAUCUUAUUUAGUGUUUGCUCAUAAAACUUGCUUUAUAUUUGUAUUUAUAUUACAUUUUAUUUUUCGUAAAUCAUCAGAUAGAAAAAUUUUAUAUUUAUAUAAGGUCAGUUUUUUUUAUUCUGAACCAUUAUCCUGGUUUUAAAAUUUUUUAUGGUUAACAGUUUUUUUAUGGGUCGGUCUUAACCAUGCGGUUGAAUGGUUAAAGAACAUUUCAACCGUGAUAAAAAGCAUGGUUUAUAGCUUAAACAUUUUUCUUCAACCUUUGCGUUUUUUUCUCCCUUUUAACAUGUUUAUGGUUUAAGCUUAAACAUGUUUCAUGUUGUUUUUAACCAGUAACUAGUUUGAGUAUAAAACAACAGGCCUCAAAUGAACCCCUUUGCAAACUCGUAGUCAACUAACUCGUAUCGUAUCCAAUUAUUACCAAUAUGUACCUUUACCAACUGGUACCAAAAUUUCAUAAGCAUUUUUGAAAUGGUCGUAUAUCAUCUUACAGAAAAAUAAAAAGAUAGAAUUUCAUAUACAAGUAAUUUGAAGCAAUAUCAAUUUGUUUGGAAUGCUGUAAUACUUAGUCUUGAUGGAAGUUGAGGCAGUUGAGUUUAUUUAUACUUCUGCAAUCAUCAUCUUCACCAAAAUAAAAAAAAUAUGGCUUUACUGCUGACAAAAAGCUUUGUAUGGUAGUCGACCAUGGUUUAUCGAUGUUGCGAUGUUGCACAUUAUGCAGGAAAACUGUCACGUCUCGUUAAGAUGUUAUACAGUGCAACACAUGUGACAACAUGAAACAUCAUCCUUGUCAGGAAAAAGGCAAUAAUAUUUCUUUAAUUUUCACUUUUUUAACAUAGAUAUUAAGGCCAUUAUGUGAUUGAUUGGUUUGAAACUUUUGAAAUUUAUUAAAACAUUUGUGUUUAAUAAAAUCAUUGGCUCUGAAAAUGUAGUAUUUAUUGCAGUACGUUUUUGUUUCUUAUUUAUAUACAAACAGUAGGGAAAAUACAAACCGUGUAAGGUAUAAUUCUUCAUGUUAUGCAGGUUUUUUUUGUGUUUAAUAUAUGUGAUCAUGUCUACUUUUUAUUUGUCCUUUGUGCAUAUAUCAUCCCAUCACUCCCCUCCAACUUCGUUGAAAUACCGCAUUGUUUUAUAAUUUAAGAUCAGAUAAAAAAAGUCACAUAGAUAAUGCAUACGAAUAAUAUCUAAAAAUUGGAAACUAGUUGGACAAGGUACGAGUUGGUGAAGAUAAGAUAAUAGGAACGAUUUUUUGUCGUACAUCCCACAUUUGGAUGUAAAAGAAACUAAAUACUUACAAAUAAAAAUCUAUAGGUCAUAUAUAAUCUAGAUUUUAUUAAUGUUAAAGAAUCUCAUUUAUAGAGGAGCUUAGUCAUUAUUAUUCCAAAAUGCAUCAUAAUAUUAAAACUUAGUAUUAUAGGUUUUUAGGUAUAACAUUCUAUCAACAUUUCAGAAACUAUAUAUAUAAGGUUUGAUAUAUUACAGCAGUCGAGCAGUAAAUGGUGGGGCAUUGCUAUAAAGAAAUUUGGUUUAUAAAUUAAUUCACUGUAAGGAUGUAAAGUUAUUAAAACACAGGAUUUUGUUUUCAGAUUUGCGAAUUUGAGUAAUAUAACAUACUUCUAACAACGUUUCGUUUAUUUUUAUUCGGUUAUAAUUUAUGUACAUAUUUAAUGUUGAAUAAUAAAAUAGUUUUAUAGUA